rnacentral:tRNA from 1 species
GCCGGCGUGGCGAAACUGGCAGACGCACGGGACUCAAAAUCCCGCGGUGGCAACACCAUGUGGGUUCGAUUCCCUCCGCCGGCA